rnacentral:rRNA from 1 species
CCUACGGGAGGCAGCAGCAAGGAAUCUUCCGCAAUGGGGGCAACCCUGACGGAGCAACGCCGCGUGGGGGAUGAGGCCCUUCGGGGUGUAAACCCCUUUUCUGCGGGACGAAGGCGGCUUACGGCCGCUUGACGGUACCGCAGGAAGAAGGACCGGCUAACUACGUGCCAGCAGCCGCGGUAAUACGUAGGGUCCGAGCGUUGUCCGGAGUUACUGGGCGUAAAGGGCGCGCAGGCGGCGGUGCUGGCCCGGCGUGAAAGCCCCCGGCUCAACCGGGGAGGGUCGUCGGGGACCGCACCGCUUGAGGGCGGUAGGGGCUGGUGGAAUGCCUGGUGUAGUGGUGAAAUGCGUAGAGAUCAGGCGGAACACCCGUGGCGAAGGCGGCCAGCUGGGCCGACCCUGACGCUGAGGCGCGAAGGCGUGGGGAGCGAACGGGAUUA